rnacentral:rRNA from 1 species
CAUUUUAAAAUACGGAAACAGCACGAACAGUCUUUUCUACUAUCAUUAUCGUUAUUAUACGUUGAUAAAUAAUCCUUUUUGUAGACACACGUGAUAUAAACGUCGUGAGUUAACGUAACAACGAAAUUUUUUUAUACAAUUGAACUCGAUUAAUUAAUCUAUCAUUAAUUAGAUUGCCAACCAGUAUAAUGCCUUUUUGUAGACACACGUGAUAUAAACGUCGUGAGUUAACGUAACAACGAAAUUUUUUUAUACAAUUGAACUCGAUUAAUUAAUCUAUCAUUAAUUAGAUUGCCAACCAGUAUAAUGCUACGAAUCAUUCCAAUUUAUUCAAUAUGACAUUUUAAAAUACGGAAACAGCACGAACAGUCUUUUCUACUAUCAUUAUCGUUAUUAUACGUUGAUAAAUAAUCCUUUUUGUAGACACACGUGAUAUAAACGUCGUGAGUUAACGUAACAACGAAAUUUUUUUAUACAAUUGAACUCGAUUAAUUAAUCGUGCACACAGUCACGUCAGCGCUCCGUAGGUUUCGUGCCUCUCCUACCCUACUUGAGUUGUUAAAGGUUUAAGCUGGGAAUAAACCAGUCCGUUCUAUGGAGGUACUACUCAUAUACACACGGUUACUCGUCGACCACGUCUACCAAGAUCGAAUUGAGUACUUAUACCCUCGUUAUAUAACUCCGACGCUUCUUCCAACAGUAGCUCUGUUUCCCGUUCGUGCUGUUCCUAAUUACGAACCGCAUCUCCAAUAGGUUUUCUUGAUACAGUAAAGCAAUUAAUUAAAGGAUAUGUUAAAGUGAACGUGUACGUAGAAAGACUGUUUUAUUUUUGACGUGAUAAGAUAGAGAGAGAAUGGAUUAGAAUAAUCUUCAUGAUUGACACUUAAAGUAGAGAUAAAAAGAGGUUCGUGAAACGUAUCAUAGGGUAGGUGACUUCAAAUAAUGGUACACUAGACUCUUUAAUUCUCCAUGUACACGUAUGACAUUCUUGUACUAGUCACCGUGGAGACAAAAAUUCCGCAGGGAUUCCGCAGCGAAUCCGCUGCGGAUCCGCAGUCCCGCGGGGGUCCUCCGUUCCGCAGCCGGAACGGAAUGUACACACAGAUUCCGCAGGCGGAAUCAGGAAUUCCGCAGGUUCCGCAGGCGGAUCCGCGGUGAGACGGACGGAAUCCGUUUAUUCCUGCGGAAUCUGUCUCGACCCACCAAAUCCGCCCUUUGUCUAUUGGCCCUCCCUUCCUUUCCCGCCCUUUGAAACAAAACCGCGGUUGUCCAUGAUCUCCCUCUCUCUCUCUGGACAUUGGUAAAAGUCAAAGGGGGGUGGGGGUCCGACCUAGACUCGAAGAGGGGGAGGAGAGAUCGUCGAAGGAGGAGGAGAGGCCGUCUAGGGGGAGGGGGAGGAGAGGACGUCAAGGAGGAGGAGGAGAGGACGUCUAAGAGGUAGGAGAGGACGUCUAAGAGGUAGGAGAGGUCUUGAUAUACCCGAGAUGUUGGUAGUCAACGUUUCACACAUACCGACAUAAGGAUCAACGGAUUACGGAUGGUUUAAGAUGAAUUAAGACAACGAAUGUUCAGAGAUUCCGCAGCGGAGCGGAAUACGGAAUCGCGAAUCCGUCACUCCGUGGGGGGUCGCGGAGCGGAGCGGAAUGGCGGAAUUUUUGUAUCUCACCGUGUAUAACGUGAUAACUAAGAUACGACAUAGUGGAUCACAUGUCGUAGGAUCUGAAAUAAAACAAGAGUCGGACACCGUACCAUAAGAAGGUACAUGGGGACAGUAAUAAAUAUCAGACGUAAAGAUCACUUUUCUGGUUUAGUAAAUGAAUCAACGAACACCAGAUAACACAAUAGUACCAAAAUGACUACAAGUGUAAGGUUUAAUCGUAAAUCAACGAUGACCCACGACAGGAACGACUUACGACUGAUAACCUAAUGUUUUGGUGAAACAUUAGGUACACGUAGAAAAUCCAAGACCGAAACAUCACACUUAGUAGAUGGAGUUUAUUGCUUUACUACACUUUGAUACAAUCUCUAACGACCACACGACGAACAGUUCGAACGAUACGACAACAGACGAUUUAAGACCCACAUGGAGCUACGUUAACUUGUACCUUUGUUGAAAUCUUGAUAAAAAGUGUACAAAAUGAUUUAUAAGCUUGGUGACUUGUACUGAUGAGGGUAUAGAGACUUUACUCUUAAAUGAUUUCAAAGAUAAGCACGAUAGCUAUCAAAACAAAAGUACAAGUACAUACAUUUUACGGCUUAUGUUUACUGGAAGUAAUAAUAAUAAUAAUAUAAUCGUUGUGUUAUACAUCAUCGUUUGGUGUUAUGUUUACUAUAGAAAUCAAGGAUCCUGUUUAAAAUCUACUUAAUCAAGUAUUUCUUUCACUAUGUCUUUUUUACAUUCGCAACACAUAAACACUUCUUCUUUUUCCACUUAAGAGAGAGAAUAGAUAAAAAGAUCCCAGAGAACCUGUCAGUGAAUAAGGACGUACUAAAAGAGAGGGGAGAAAUCUAAAGAAAACACAUACGGUUGAACCAAAAGGAAUAUAAGGUCACUCGAGACAAGAUCCUCAUAUGACCACAUGGCUACAAACAUUACCAAAAAAAUACAACACGCGACUACAAACGUUACCAUAAACCAAAGACAUGAGACGUUCGGAGUGUUACGAUUAACUUUAUAUGAAAUAGUACAACGUCUACGAAUCGUUUACGAAAGUGACGACGGACAACAAUUAGUAGACGAAAGAAUGAGGAAAGAAAAUACAUCCUUUCCGGAUUCUCUCAAUAGGGGGUACCCUUGUCUCUGGCCCUAUGUAACAGAGAGUCCUAUAUACGUCCUAUAUACGUCGUCUCUUUCAAAAAAUCUUUUUGUUUUUUUCCCCUAAGAGAAGUUAACCAAACUACAAGUUCGACCUCCUACUUCUAACUGCCGAAACUACAUGACAUGCUCUUGCUUUGUUCGUAGAACCACCUUCCGACACUCCUACCUAUAGAACACUCCUAUCUAUACAUCAACGGAUGAUGUUCCUCGGUUCCGUCUACUACACGGAGACUCUAUAUAAGGUCUUUUAUCUCCCUCUUAAAAAACGAGAGUAUAUCACUUGGUAUCACAAAGGAGAUAAAUCAAUCAAUGUAAUCGAAUAUCCUUUGAACUCACCAGUAAUCAAAUAUUGUCUACUUGAUAAAUAUACACUUUUAAUUACUUACACACAACCAUAAUAAACUAAGACCAAAUUAUAACAACCUGUUGUACGUACAAUGCC